rnacentral:rRNA from 1 species
AACACAUGCAAGUCGAACGAGGCCCUGCCUUCGGGCAGGUGACCUAGUGGCGAACGGGUGAGUAACACGUGGGCAACCUACCCUCAGCUCUGGGAUAACCCCGGGAAACCGGAGCUAAUACCGGAUAUGACCUGGAAGGACAUCCUUCUUGGUGGAAAGUUUUUCGGCUGAGGAUGGGCCCGCGGCCUAUCAGCUUGUUGGUGGGGUAAUGGCCUACCAAGGCGACGACGGGUAGCCGGCCUGAGAGGGCGAACGGCCACACUGGGACUGAGACACGGCCCAGACUCCUACGGGAGGCAGCAGUGGGGAAUAUUGCGCAAUGGGCGAAAGCCUGACGCAGCGACGCCGCGUGAGGGAUGAAGGCCUUCGGGUUGUAAACCUCUUUCAGCAGGGACGAAGCGAGAGU